rnacentral:sRNA from 1 species
AUUCGUUACUAUUUGGACUGGCAGAUCCC